UACGUAGGGUGCGAGCGUUGUCCGGAAUUAUUGGGCGUAAAGAGCUUGUAGGCGGUUUGUCGCGUCUGCUGUGAAAUCCCAGGGCUUAACCCUGGGCCUGCAGUGGGUACGGGCAGACUAGAGUGCGGUAGGGGGAGAUCGGAAUUCCUGGUGUAGCGGUGAAAUGCGCAGAUAUCAGGAGGAACACCGGUGGCGAAGGCGGCAUCCUGGACCAACACUGACGCUGAGGAGCGAAAGCCAGGGGAGCAAACGGG
rnacentral:rRNA from 1 species